CCGUCGUCGUCGGCGUGCACUUCUCCCCUAGUAGGACGUCGCGACCCGUUGGGCGUCGGCCGAAGGCUCGGAAGGUAGACUGUCGCGUGCUCUCCCGGCGCGCGACAGACCUCCGAUGUUACUCCUGGCCCGACUGCUCGACGGUAUUGAUAGCUUGUAACAAUUGGUACAGGGCCGCAUCGAAUGCGUUCGGCUCGUCGGCAGGCUCGUCUCGCUCGGAUUUACGGACCUAGUGCCGUUGCUGGGCGCUUGACGCGGCCGUUACGCCGACGAUGAUCUCGAACCGGCUCGCUUAUAUUAUUAUUUUAUAAUGAUAUAAUAUUACCAGUCUGCGACGCUUUUGCUUUGGGUACUUUCAGGACCCGUCUUGAAACACGGACCAAGGAGUCUAACAUGUGCGCGAGUCAUUGGGACUUAUUUUAAGCCUAAAGGCGCAAUGAAAGUGAAGAUUCGGUCUCGGCCGAACGAGGGAGGAUGGCUCGCGUUACGAUGCGAGCUCGCACUCCCGGGGCAUCUCUAGCUCAUUGCGAGCGGAGGUGCACCAAGAGCGUACACGUUGGGACCCGAAAGAUGGUGAACUAUGCCUGGUCAGGACGAAGUC
rnacentral:rRNA from 1 species